UACGAAGGGGGCGAGCGUUGUUCGGAAUCACUGGGCGUAAAGGGCGCGUAGGCGGCGCAGCAAGUCAGGCGUGAAAGCCCCGGGCUCAACCUGGGAACGGCGCUUGGGACUGUUGUGCUGGAGUUCGGGAGAGGAGAGUGGAAUUCCCAGUGUAGAGGUGAAAUUCGUAGAUAUUGGGAAGAACACCGGUGGCGAAGGCGGCUCUCUGGACCGAGACUGACGCUGAGGCGCGAAAGCGUGGGGAGCAAACAGG
rnacentral:rRNA from 1 species